GAUCCGGUAGCUCAGUUGGUAGAGCACCUGACUUUUAAUCAGGUGGCCCAGGGUUCAAGUCCCUGCCGGAUCACCA
rnacentral:tRNA from 1 species